rnacentral:pre_miRNA from 1 species
GCAACGAUAAUCGGACCGUCGGUCUACCGAGCAAUAUCACCAGCUCGGUGGAAGAUCUUUCUUUCGUCGUUAUA